UGGUAAUCGCGUUCAGUAAGGGAGGGACUGCAGUUUCACACAUUUGGUACAUGUGCCUGGUCGAUCGGCCUAUGGUGCGAGGCUACCAUCUGGGGGAUUAAGACUGAACUCCUCUAAGUCUGAAUCCCAUCCAAA
rfam:Echinococcus multilocularis genomic scaffold, pathogen_EmW_scaffold_07